rnacentral:rRNA from 1 species
UACGUAGGGGGCUAGCGUUGUCUGGAAUCAUUGGGCGUAAAGCGCGUGUAGGCGGUCCGGUAAGUCCGCUGUGAAAGUCGGGGGCUCAACCCUCGGAUGCCGGUGGAUACUGUCGGGCUUGAGUACGGAAGAGGUGAGUGGAAUUCCUGGUGUAGCGGUGAAAUGCGCAGAUAUCAGGAGGAACACCAAUGGCGAAGGCAGCUCACUGGGACGGUAUUGACGCUGAGACGCGAAAGCGUGGGGAGCAAACAGG